rnacentral:rRNA from 1 species
UACAGAGGGUGCGAGCGUUGUCCGGAAUCACUGGGCGUAAAGGGCGCGUAGGUGGUGGCUUAAGCGUGCGGUGAAAGCUCGGAGCUCAACCCCGGGUCGGCCGUGCGGACUGCCGGGCUCGAGCACUGUAGAGGCGGGUGGAAUUCCGGGUGUAGCGGUGGAAUGCGUAGAGAUCCGGAAGAACACCGGUGGCGAAGGCGGCCCGCUGGGCAGUGGCUGACGCUGAGGCGCGACAGCGUGGGGAGCAAACAGG